GAUGAACGCUGGCGGCGUGCCUAAUACAUGCAAGUCGAGCGAACGGACGAGAAGCUUGCUUUUCUGAUGUUAGCGGCGGACGGGUGAGUAACACGUGGAUAACCUACCUAUAAGACUGGGAUAACUUCGGGAAACCGGAGCUAAUACCGGAUAAUAUUUUGAACCGCAUGGUUCAAAAGUGAAAGACGGUCUUGCUGUCACUUAUAGAUGGAUCCGCGCUGCAUUAGCUAGUUGGUAAGGUAACGGCCUACCAAGGCAACGAUGCAUAGCCGACCUGAGAGGGUGAUCGGCCACACUGGAACUGAGACACGGUCCAGACUCCUACGGGAGGCAGCAGUAGGGAGUCUUCCGCAAUGGGCGAAAGCCUGACGGAGCAACGCCGCGUGAGUGAUGAAGGUCUUCGGAUCGUAAAACUCUGUUAUUAGGGAAGAACAUAUGUGUAAGUAACUGUGCACAUCUUGACGGUACCUAAUCAGAAAGCCACGGCUAACUACGUG
rnacentral:rRNA from 1 species